rnacentral:rRNA from 1 species
GGACGAAAGUCUGACGCAGCGACGCCGCGUGGGGGAUGAAGGUCUUCGGAUUGUAAACCCCUUUCGGGAGGGAAGAUGGAGUGGGUAACCACUUGGACGGUACCUCCAGAAGCAGCCACGGCUAACUUCGUGCCAGCAGCCGCGGUAAUACGAAGGUGGCAAGCGUUGUUCGGAUUCACUGGGCGUACAGGGAGCGUAGGCGGUUGGGUAAGCCCUCCGUGAAAUCUCCGGGCCUAACCCGGAAAGUGCAGAGGGGACUGCUCAGCUAGAGGAUGGGAGAGGAGCGCGGAAUUCCCGGUGUAGCGGUGAAAUGCGUAGAGAUCGGGAGGAAGGCCGGUGGCGAAGGCGGCGCUCUGGAACAUUUCUGACGCUGAGGCUCGAAAGCGUGGGGAGCAAACAGGAUUAGAUACCCUGGUAGUCCACGCCUUAAACUAUGGAUACUAAGUGUCGGCGGGUUACCGCCGGUGCCGCAGCUAACGCAUUAAGUAUCCCGCCUGGGAAGUACGGCCGCAAGGUUG